rnacentral:rRNA from 1 species
UACAGAGGGGGCAAGCGUUAUUCGGAAUUAUUGGGCGUAAAGGGCGCGUAGGCGGCUUGGCAAGCGGAAGGUGAAAUCCCUCGGCUUAACCGAGGAACUGCCCUCCAAACUGCUUCGCUUGAGACCGGGAGAGGUGAGUGGAAUUCCCAGUGUAGCGGUGAAAUGCGUAGAUAUUGGGAGGAACACCAGUGGCGAAGGCGGCUCACUGGACCGGUACUGACGCUGAUGCGCGAAAGCGUGGGGAGCAAACGGG